ACUGGCAAACCGUUUUUUUUUUUUUAAACUCCACACUCGGCUGAAAUGGAGUCGGAGCGAAGGGCAGAAGGAGGCAGCUUCUAAACAAACGCCUCCUUUAAAUAAAGAAGAGAUGCGUCUCAGAUCGCCCGGGGGGGGGCAUGAAGGAGCGCAGCAGAGGCGUUGAAACACAAAAAAGAUUCAUCGUCAGCUGAACCUCGAGAGGCACCGGUGGACAGAGAGAUUAAAGCAGAAGUGUUGUGACCGAACCGGCCCGCUGACAGCGGAGACAGACUCGUCUGUCAGACCUUCUGAAACACCACCGGGCUGCGAGGCCCUCCAUGCGGACGCCCUCCUGGCCGGCACGGGCGAGCCUCCAUCUGUGACGCUGAGGACCUCCAUGGACUUCCUCUCUGGUCUCCUCUUCCCGUGGCGGUUCAACAUGGGGGAGUCCACUCGCUUCUUUGGAGGAUCUGUGGGAAAACAGCAGCGAUUCAGGCCGAUUCAGAAAUCAACACACUGCACCAACUGACCGGCUCGACGCGUUAAUCCUCACCAAUCUCAUUACGAGGGGGAAGGUUCUGGUCCUCCUGACUUGGAUAUCUCUCCUUACGGUCCAGCAACAGGAAGUAGAUCAUCUUUUCUUGGUUGUCACUGCAAAGGAUAUGCCCUGCCUCCAUAUGCUGCGUCCGCUGCAGCCCAGGGAGUGCAUGCUGUCCAGUACGUCCGGGUCGAUAUCGUCCGCGGAGGGCAGGCUGCGGAUCGUCACCUUCCUGGGCACAGGCUGCUCUGGCUCCGGCUCGUUCUUCCCCCCACUGGGAAUGCAAAAAGAUGAGGACACCGUCAGCCAUUUUUUGUUCCCUGGCACUGUACGACCCACUUCGGGAAAUCUGAACAGCUCUGCAUUAAUAUUUUCAUAUACCUUAUGCAACUUAUAGAGAGAGGCAUUGCAGAUGCACAGAUCAAAUGAGAAAAAGACAGCGGGUUAAAUAUUUCAGUGUGUGUUUGCCUCUCGGGCAUCUGGGGCAACAUGUUUACCUCAUUGUGACCCCGUUUGACGUUAUGAAACUUUCAUAGUCACGAAUUUUCCCCCAGUUUAGUCACUUUGCAUGUUAUCUUCAGAGGAUGAACUGUGGUCAUAGUGCUCACGAACAUGAACACAGACGACUGAGUCAUGCUGUUGAAUUAAAAAU